rnacentral:miRNA from 1 species
CCUAUUCUGCAUGACUUGGUUC